CGGUCCCGGCGGCAGAAAUAGGGCAGCCGCGGCGGUGGUGCCACAGCAGCGGGCCGCGGCGGCUUAGAGAGCUGGAGCCCCGACAGCCUCCAGCGCGCCCAGGACCCGCCGACAGCCAGAGAGACCGACCGAAGGACGCGGGACCGGGUCUCCGCUGCCACCACGGGGCGCUCCCUCUCGCCCUCCGAGUCCGGCCACCUGGUCUUCCCCUCGGCCCCCGGCCGCCUCAGACUCAACAAAAUGAAACCAGGAUGCUUUUGGCUGCAUCUCACACUGCUUGGAGCCUCCCUGCCUGCUGCGCUGGGGUGGAUGAACCCAGGAACCAGCAGAGGAUUGAACAUGGGUGUGGGAGAGUCCCGGGAAGAGGAAUCCAGACGCCUUGAAGUCACAAGAAGAGAAGGGACUGCAGGAACUCAAGUCCAGGUUUGCUUGUGAGAACUACGUCUUCUACCUUCUAGUAUCAGAGAUGGGAUCUGGCGAACUGGCUUAUUCAUGAUAAUGUUUACAGUCUCUCCAGAGAGGCCUCAUCUUUUGAGUGAAGUUUGAAGUAAUAAUUUAGUUCCACCCAGUGAAAACCACUUCAACAAUAAAAAAUGGUUUAUGGUUUGAGGUAUUUCAAUAUCUGGGAACAUGUGCCACUGUGAAAAAUAUUUCUGAUUAGAUUUUUACAACUUUAGUUAAGCUGAAAUAGAUAUAUGCAAUUAAUUUCCCUUCUGAAAACAAUGCAAUGGUGUUUUAUUUUCCCUGCCAGAGUUCCUCUAGCACAUUCGUUUUCUGAUCACUGAGGUAAAUAUAUAUAUGGGUGGUAACUUCUGAAAUCUUUUAGUGGAAAUUGAAGUUUACUUGCUUUCAGUAAUACCUGGCCUCUCAUGAGAGGGUGUCUUUUGUAUGAUUUAUGGAAAUCACCACCAGUCAGCCCUUUAUUGCAGGGAUGGGAAGAUGAAGUCAGAAACCAAAGUGAGUUCUUGGUCUAGAGUCUGGCCUUUGGCUUUAGCCCUAAUCACGCCUCGACCUCUGUGGUAUUGUCUCCAAAAAGAGCGCCAAUCUUUAAAAGUGAGCAAAUACCAUAUUGACUUUCAAAUCUAAAAACCUCCCCCGGGUUUAGUUCUUAUUUUAUGCAGCACAGUGAAAGACACAGAAUGGCCAUGUUACCAAAGUGUGUUCCUAGACCUAAACUUUCCAUACUAUCUGUACCGAUGGGUUAAUAGAACUGGUUGUUUGCUGCUGUCCAUGGUGCUGGAAUCCUGGAUACAAAGGAUCUGGAUUAUCUAGCUAUAGGAUGAAUUUUCUGGCUUUCAUUCUCAUUUGCCAUCAUCUGGUUUUGGACUCAGUGUCCUCUGAACUGCAUCCAUAGCGUAAAUGCAUUGUUUGGAUAUCAAAAUCAAAUGAAAUUGGAUGAAGGUGGGUGGGGCAGGGAAGGCAUAUUUCUUAUUCAAAGGUGUGUUCACAGUGAGUGCGAUAACAUGUAAACUGGAGAGAAAUAGCCAUUAGGAGAGAGGUUGGCAUGAACUUUGGUUUAGAAUGCUAUUCAUUCACUACCCCUGAGUGUGAUUGUUUAGAAUUCAUUUGAGUUAUGGAAUCACAUAUAAACUUAACUGUUUUGGAAUAUUACUGUCCUUGUGUUAGAAAUGUCUUUGAAUAGUAAGGCUAGGGUAUGAAAGAACCACAUGUACUUUUGCUCAAAGACAUAAAAGGCCUUACUGUACCCGGGACUCCCAAUUCCUAGAAGACUGAGUGUCUGAGGAUGAGCAAAAGCAUGGUCAGGCUGUGCUCUAAUCAUCCAUAAUCCCCUUCUCUCUAGAAGCAGCAUGUUUCACAACUGGCAUAUGCCUUGGGUUUGUACUGGUAAAUUUGUCUUGACAUAACAUAAACCUUUUUCUUCCUAUUGUGAACUGAUGUGUUUCUUGCUUGUUUCUGGUAAGGCUGAGUGUUUGAAAAUUCCUGAAAUAGCCCAGUGCCUUAAUGUCAGUGCUUAUAACCCGGCAGGAAGGAAGGAAGAGUGGGUUCCGAGUAUUUUCAAGUCUGAGAUUCACAGGCUUGGGUAGUAGGGUU